UACGGCAUUCGUGGACCACCGAGGACCUCCGUGGCGCUAACGGCAGAUGACCAACUUUUGCAAUGGUUCGCUAACCAGAGGACCAUUUACGGAAAAAUCACCGCACUUGGGACCAGAUCAGGGUCAGCUGGAAACAGACAGACAGAGAGGAAUAGGUGGAUAGAGGAGAGGUGGCGUUUCCUAUCAGGGCAUAUUGUGCGUGCAGUGACCAGGACUAGCGCACCCAAGG